GGGGAUGAAACCAGAGAAGGAAUUAUCAGAGAGGUCAAGAACAGUCAAGUAAGUAAGUCGAGAGAUGAGUGGAGAGAGAGUACCGGAGUAGCCAGCGGGAUCGAGGGUGAGUUGGGUGACGCGAGUGGAGGCGGAGUUACAGAGGAGGCCGCAGGAGAAGGAGGUCCGACGAGGGAGAGCGCAGGGAUCGGUGGAGAAAUUCCAGGAAGCUAAACAGGACCAAGGGGGAAUGGAAGAGGGUUUGAUGGCGGAUUUGAAGGCUUUGAGGGCGGAGAGAUCGGAGGGAGAGGUGAGAGAUUGAAGGGAGGAGGAGAGAGAGAGGAGG
rnacentral:misc_RNA from 1 species